GAGGGUGUAGUUCAAUUAGUAGAACAUCUCGACAAAAUCGAGAAGAUGUGGGUUCGAAUCCCGCCACCCUCA
rnacentral:tRNA from 1 species